CACGUAGGGGGCGAGCGUUGUCCGGAUUUAUUGGGCGUAAAGAGCUCGUAGGCGGUUUCGUAAGUCGGAUGUGAAAACUCCAGGCUCAACUUGGAGACGCCAUUCGAUACUGCGAUGACUUGAGUCCGGUAGGGAAGUGUGGAAUUCCUGGUGUAGCGGUGAAAUGCGCAGAUAUCAGGAGGAACACCGGCGGCGAAGGCGGCACUCUGGGCCGGUACUGACGCUGAGGAGCGAAAGCGUGGGUAGCAAACAGG
rnacentral:rRNA from 1 species